UUGGUUUUAGUUAUUUUUUAAUUUUUUAAUUACAUACUAUAGCCGACGAAUACGCUAGGGUAUUCGUCGGUUAAACCCUAAAAUUUUUCUAUUACAUACGUAAGCCCUAUCUUCGGAGCUUAUUUUCCGUAAAAUUUUUAGACGACUUCUUGUGUCUCAUCGGUUUGAAACUAUUUUCAGUUGGAGGUCCGGCCAAAAUACGUAAUUUAGACGGUCAAACGAUUUUUUUCCGUGUGUUUAGGGGUUUGACGUACGAGAUUGACCGUUCGGAUCGAGCCCUUAUUCUUAUCGGAUCAAAUUGAAUUUUUUCCCAUACAUGUAUUUUGUCAUGAUGGUCAGAUCUGACAGUCGGAUUUCUGUUUCUCAAGUUUGAUCAUCACAAUCACAACAUGCCUACUAAUGUUGUAUAACUUGUUUACCAAGUGUUAUGUAAAUGUUCCGUUUCAAAAACAAACUAUAUGUAAAACCUUCAAACGCCAAAAAGUCAUGAAAUAAGAUAUAACGAGAAUGUUGAAAUACAUCCACGGUUGAAAAAUCACACUAUUCCGGUAAAUAUUCGGUGUCGAUAGUUGCGGUCAAUGCAAUUUUUCAUUCUUUCCCCCUAUGACUAGCCCUAUAUUCGGUGGUUAUUUUGCGUAAAAUUUUUAUACGACUUGUUGCGUGUCAUCUAUUUAAAACUAUUUUCAGUUGAAGAUCCGGCCAAAAUACGUAAUUUAGACGGUCGAACGACCUUUUCCGUGCGUUUAGGGGUUUGACUUACGAGAUUGACCGUCCGGAUCGAGCCCUUAUUCUUGUCGGAUCAAGUUGAAUUUUUGCCCAUACAUGUAUUUUGUCAUGGUGGUCAGAUCUGACGGUCGGAUUUUUGUUUCUCAAGUUUGAUCAUCACAAUCACAAUGUGCCAAAUGUAUAAAAGUACUUUAGCCGACGAAUUUCAAAGGUUAGCCGACGAAUUUCGAAGGUUUAGCCGACGAAUUGAUUCUUAGUCGACGAGAUUGUUAGCUUUAGCCGACGAAAUUAUUAUUUCGUCGGCUAAAGUUGUCGGGUUUAACUUCCGCUCGACAGCAGAAAAACCCUAGCCUCCUCUUCCGCCUCCUCCGCCUCCUCUCCCUCUCCCGGUCUCCCAGUCGCCCUCUCCCUNNNNN
rnacentral:lncRNA from 1 species